CUCAUAACCAGAGUACAUAAAGCAUUUGCAACGUGUCAUCUCAUCGUUUUCAUUCGUCACCUGUACAGUGCAGCAGGUCUUCCUCCAUUCACCUGGCAGUGAUGGCAGAAGCAGCUACCAGAACAAGAGGGCGAGUCUGUGUCAUCACGUGCUUGUUUCUCUACGUGUUACUGGUGAUCUACUCGAUGCUGUGUCUCGUUUACAUCGCAAGCUGGGCCAAAAACAAACUGGCAGAAGAAAACUAUAAAAAUGCAGCCAUCACAAAGCUAUUUGAAUUCACAAAUUCACUACCUAACAAGAACCAGCUGGAAAUAUUCAGGGAAAUCCUCCAGACAGCAGUAGAAGAAGAAGAGAGACUGAAGGCAGAAGACUACUUCUACAUGGUAACUCUCUCAAGAGUUUUUGAUGAAAAAGUUGAUCUCAUUACUCCUAAACUGGAACUACUGGAAACAUUAUCAGCUGAUUUUCUAGAACUGCGGGAAAUAAUUGCAAUUGGGACACGAUUAUUAAAGAAUCUCAGAGCUCACUUAGACAUGAAACUGGCUCUGCUGGAAGAAUAGAGGGUGCAGAGAAAUGAAUGAUGAGCUUCAUAAAACCGUCAAACAACAAUCUGAUUUUUUUUGUUUCCAUCUCUAUCCCUGUACAUCUGUGUUGUGCAUAUUCCGUUUUUGUGAAAUUACAUUUCAUGAAAUGCAAUUUUCUUAAUUUUUUGUUUUUCUUUUUGUUUCCAAGUAAAAUCGAACAUAUUCCUUCAAAUUAUACAUAUUUAAAUUCUUUCAGUUAAUGUUUGGCACAUUUUUUACUUUAUGACAUCUUUGACCAAUGAUUCUUCUACUGUAAAUCAAGUGUGUGCUUAAAAUAUUACACAUCAUUUUACAUCCUAAAUACUAUUAAAAGUCUUGAGUAAUGCUUAAUAAUCCAGGUUAGGACAUCUCUGCUUUGGAAUCUGGAUUAUACUAUGUACAGAUUUAAUUUCCCCAAGCACGAAAGCUUAAAAACAAGCAAACAACAACAAGAAAAAAUCAAAAAACAAAACAAAAGGCAAACAAACAGCCAUCCCUCAAGACUUUCUCCAUUUAAAGCAAUGCAUUAUCAGGGAUUGUAACAUCUAGUCCUUUUACUGAAUCACCCUGCACAGCGCCACUCUCUUAGAAAUUAUACAUGUGUACAACAAAAUGUUUUUUAAAAACUUUUAUUUUACAUUCAAAUUCAGACCCAGAAUGUAAAGCAAGAAUAGGCAAAGUUUUAUUUUAAAUAAAAUGCCACACUGAUAAACUUUCCAAUGCUUGAAAGUUUGGAUGGACAUAUUUGCAUACCUGAGAGCUGAGUCUGUUUCCAGAGUCCAGUUUGUGAUUAAAUCUAAGUGAUAAUUACUGCAGAU
ensembl:lncRNA